rnacentral:rRNA from 1 species
AGUGAACGCUGGCGGCAGGCCUAACACAUGCAAGUCGAGCGGCAGCGCGGGGGCAACCCUGGCGGCGAGCGGCGGACGGGUGAGGAAUACAUCGGAAUCUACCUUCUUGUGGGGGAUAACGUAGGGAAACUUACGCUAAUACCGCAUGAGACCUGAGGGUGAAAGCAGGGGAUCGCAAGGCCUUGCGCGAGAAGAUGAGC